AGUGAACGCUGGCGGUAGGCCUAACACAUGCAAGUCGAACGGCAGCACAGUAAGAGCUUGCUCUUACGGGUGGCGAGUGGCGGACGGGUGAGGAAUACAUCGGAAUCUACCUUUUCGUGGGGGAUAACGUAGGGAAACUUACGCUAAUACCGCAUACGACCUACGGGUGAAAGCAGGGGAUCUUCGGACCUUGCGCGAUUGAAUGAGCCGAUGUCGGAUUAGCUAGUUGGCGGGGUAAAGGCCCACCAAGGCGACGAUCCGUAGCUGGUCUGAGAGGAUGAUCAGCCACACUGGAACUGAGACACGGUCCAGACUCCUACGGGAGGCAGCAGUGGGGAAUAUUGGACGAUGGGCGCAAGCCUGAUCCAGCCAUACCGCGUGGGUGAAGAAGGCCUUCGGGUUGUAAAGCCCUUUUGUUGGGAAAGAAAAGCAGCAGGUUAAUACCCCGCUGUUCUGACGGUACCCAAAGAAUAAGCACCGGCUAACUUCGUG
rnacentral:rRNA from 1 species